UGACCGCUGGCGGCGUGCCUAAUACAUGCAAGUCGAGCGAACAGACGAGGAGCUUGCUCCUCUGACGUUAGCGGCGGACGGGUGAGUAACACGUGGAUAACCUACCUAUAAGACUGGGAUAACUUCGGGAAACCGGAGCUAAUACCGGAUAAUAUAUUGAACCGCAUGGUUCAAUAGUGAAAGACGGUUUUGCUGUCACUUAUAGAUGGAUCCGCGCCGCAUUAGCUAGUUGGUAAGGUAACGGCUUACCAAGGCAACGAUGCGUAGCCGACCUGAGAGGGUGAUCGGACACACUGGAACUGAGACACGGUACAGACGCCUACGGGAGGCAGCAGUAGGGAAUCUUCCGCAAUGGGCGAAAGCUUGACGGAGCAACGCCGCGUGAGUGAUGAAGGUCUUCGGAUCGUAAAACUCUGUUAUUAGGGAAGAACAAAUGUGUAAGUAACUAUGCACGUCUUGACGGUACCUAAUCAGAAAGCCACGGCUAACUACGUG
rnacentral:rRNA from 1 species